AUAAUAUAAUAAUAAUAAAAGAAAAAGGAAUUGAAGAGUUAAGUGUAUAUAAAAGGAAUAAAUAUGAAUUAUGUUUUAUGAGAGAGCUAUUAAUAAAAGAGGUAAAGAGUAUAAUAUAUAAUAUAAUCAAUAAGAUAAUAAAGAAUAUUAUGAGACCUAAAGGAAACUAAAGAGAAAGAACUAAGUGAACUGAAACAUCAAAGUAGCUUAAGGAAAAGAAAUUAACAAAGAUUUUCUAAGUAUUGGUGAGAGAAAAGAAAAGAGUAAAAUAAGUAUUAUUAAAAAACUAAUAGUAAGAAAUAGGGAUAAACUAAUUCUAAUACUAAAUAUUAUUAAUAAGCAUAAAAAGUACCGAGAGGGAAUGAUAAAAUAUAGUAAAAUAAUGAGCAAUGAAAGAUUUAAUAAAAUAAAUUAAUCAUGUACCUUUUGUAUAAUGGGUUAGCAAGAUAUAAUGAAUAGCAAAAUAUUAAUAAAAAAUAUUCUAAUGAAAAUGAUAAAAAGUUAUUAAUUAUAGACCCGAAAGUAGAUGAUCUUACCAUAAACAAGUGGUUAAAAUAUAAUAUAUAUUAUAUAAACGACUGAACAGGUUAAUGUUGCAAUAUUAUCUGAGGAUUUAUGGUAAGUAGUGAAAGACAAAUCUGAUCUACAGAUAGCUGGUAUUUUGUGAAAUAUAUUUCAGUAUAGCAUUAAUAUAAAAAAUUUAAAAGGUAAAGCAAUUAAUAAUUAUUGGGAUAUCGUAAUGAAAUUAUCAAUAUUAUUUAAUCUCUGAAUAUUUUAAAUAAAUAAAUAAAUAUAUAUAUUUAUAUAAAAUUAUAUUAAUAGUCAGACUAUUAGUGAUAAGAUUGAUAGUCUAAAGGGAAACAGCCCUUAUUAAUAGAUAAAGUUCCAAAGUCUAAAUUAAGUGUAAUUAAUAUUUAUUAAUUGUAAUACAAUUAGGGGAUUAGUUUGACAGUAAUUAUUCUAUGAUCAACGUGUAACAACGGGUUAAUUAAAUAAUAUAUAAUAUAUAUUAAUAAGUUAAUAAAUAAAUAAUAAUCGGAACUAAUAUAUAAUAAUAAAAUUUAGAACUGAAUCUUUAAUUAUAAUUUUAUAUUAAUUAAUAAAAUUAUAAGGUAACAAAACAUUUAAUGAAUAAAAAUCUUAAUAAAUUUAAGAUUAAAUAGUAUAAGUAAAUUAUAUUAUAUUAUAAUAAUAUAAUAAUGUAAAAUAAUAAAAAGAAUAAUAAAUAAUUAAAUAGAGAAUGCUAACAUGAGUAACGUAUAAGAGGUAAAAUCCUCUUCAUUUUAUCUAUUAGGUUUUAAUAUAAAAUCGGUCUCUAAAAUAUUAUUAGAAAGAAUAAUAUUGAUAAGUAAUUAAUAAUAUUCUAUAAAAACUAUAAAAAAAACAAUAAAUUAAGAAAAGAAUAAUAUAUAGUUCAGGAAAAAUUAGAAUAAUGAGAUACCGUAAUAAGACCGACCCAGGUAUAUUAUAAAAAAAGAAAAAUGAAUGGAAUAAGUAUGUUCAAUGAACUCGGCAAGAUAUAAAUUCAUAAGUUAGUCAAAAAGAAUGAAAAAAAAUUAUGUUAUACGACUGUUUACUAAAAACACAGCACUUUGCAAAAAUAAAUAUUGUAGUAUAAAGUGUGAAUUCUGCCCAAUGCUUAAUAAUAAAAAUAUAUAUUUAACGAUAUAUAAUAAAAAUUUAAGUAAAUGGCGGUUUUAUACUGAGAAUCAUAAUGUAGCGAAAUUCCUUGGCUACUAAAUCUAGUCCUGCAUGAAUGGAGUAACGAUAUAACAACUGUAUCAAAUAUAUUUCCAGUGAAAUUGAAUUAGCAGUGAAGAUGCUGUUUAUCUAAAGGUAGACGAGAAGACCCUAUGCAGCUUUACUAUAAUUUAAUAAGUUGUUCUUAUUUAAUUAUAUUUUAGUAUAUAAAGUAAUAUUUUGAUAUAUAAAUGAAAUACUUUUAUUUAAUUAAAUAUUAACUUAAUUAUUAAUUUAUAAAUGAAUAUAUAUCUUUAUAAAGAAUUUUAUAAUAAUAUAUUAUUAAAUAAUAUAAUAUUAAAUUAUUUAUAAUAAUGACAGCUUUAAAUUGAUAGUUUAAAUGGGGCGUUGAUUUCAAAAAAAAUAACUGAAUAUGUCCAUAUAUAAUUAUUAUAUAAAUUAAUAUAUAACAUAAUUAAUGAAUUAAUCAUUAAAAUUAUUAAAAAUAAUUAAAUUUAUUAAAAUAGAAAAAACCAUGUACAGUAAAUUUGAUCUGAAAUCAAAUAAAAAUAUAAUAUAAAAGAUUAUAAAAAAUAAAAUUAAUAUAAUAGUGGAUAACUGUGCAAUAAUUUAACACUAACAAGUGAAAAUUAUACGUAAGUAAGGUAUAAUGAACAGAUCAUAUUAAUAGUAAAAGUGAUCGAUUAACGGAUAAAAGUUACGCUAGGGAUAACAGUGUAAUAACAUGAGAGAGUAGAUAUUGUCAAUGUUGUUUGCCACCUCGAUGUCGUUUUCUCCUAUCCUAUUGGUAGUAUAAGCUAAUAAGGGUUUGACUGUUCGUCAAUUAAAAGGGGACAUGAAAUGGGUUUAAUACGUCGUGAGACAGUAUGGUUUCUAUCUUCUUUAGAAUUUAGUUUAUUAAAUUUUAUAACUUAGUACGAAAGGAUUUGUUAUAAUUAAUCCAUGAUUUGACUAUUGUUUAAUCUUAUAUUUUUUAUAUAUAUCUUUUAUUUUGAUUUAUAUUUAAAUAUUUAUUAUUUUUUUAUAUUAUUUAUAUUAGUUUUAAGCAGGUAGUUAAGUUAAAUUAAUAAUAAUUAAAUAUUGAAAGCAUUUAAAAUAUAAAAUUAAAUUUCUUAAACUAAAAUAUAUAUAUUUAAAUCAUAUAAAUAUAUAUUUAUAAAUUACAUUCGUAAUUUAUUUAUAUUAUGUUAGACUAACAUAUUAUUAGAUUCAUAUCUUUAUGGUUAUGUAUCGUCUAAUUAAUAUAAUAUUUUAUAUACACUUCUAUUCUUAUUCUUUUAUUAUUAUCUCUU
rnacentral:rRNA from 1 species